UCCUACGGGGGGCAGCAGUGAGGAAUAUUGGUCAAUGGCCGAAGGGCUGAACCAGCCAAGCCGCGUGAAGGAAUAAGGCCCUACGGGUCGUAAACUUCUUUAGUCAGGGGACAAAGGGAGCCACGCGUGGAGCUGUGAGUGUACCUGAAGAAUAAGCAUCGGCUAACUCCGUGCCAGCAGCCGCGGUAAUACGGAGGAUGCGAGCGUUAUCCGGAUUUAUUGGGUUUAAAGGGUGCGUAGGCGGUUUGUCAAGUCAGCGGUAAAAAUUCCGGGCUCAACCCGG
rnacentral:rRNA from 1 species